AAUCAACGCUGGCGGCGUGCCUCAGACAUGCAAGUCGAACGCGAAAUUUCCCUUCGGGGAGAAAGUAGAGUGGCGCACGGGUGAGUAACACGUAGGUAAUUUGCCUUUGGGUGGGGAAUAACUCAGGGAAACUUGAGCUAAUACCGCAUAAUGCAGCGGCUCGACAUCGAGACAGUUGUUAAAGCGGGGGAUCGCAAGACCUCGCGCCUAAAGAGAAGCCUGCGGCAGAUUAGCUAGUUGGUAAGGUAAUGGCUUACCAAGGCGACGAUCUGUAACCGGCCUGAGAGGGCGGUCGGUCACACUGACACUGACAUACGGGUCAGACUCCUACGGGAGGCAGCAGUCGGGAAUUUUGGGCAAUGGGCGAAAGCCUGACCCAGCAACGCCGCGUGAAGGAUGAAAUUUUUCGGAAUGUAAACUUCGCAAGAACAGGAAAGAAUAAGUAGAAGCGAAUACCUUCUAUGAUGACGGUACUGUUUGUAAGCUCCGGCUAACUCCGUGCCAGCA
rnacentral:rRNA from 1 species